rnacentral:rRNA from 1 species
UGGGUAAUCAACCCUCUGGAUUGGGACAACCCGGGGAAACUCGGGCUAAUACCGGAUACGUCGUGGAUUUCUUAGGAUCUCCACGGGAAAGGCCCGCAAGGGCCACCAGAGGACGAGCUCGCGGCCCAUCAGCUAGUUGGUGAGGUAAUGGCUCACCAAGGCAGAGACGGGUAGCUGGUCUGAGAGGAUGAUCAGCCACACUGGAACUGAGACACGGUCCAGACUCCUACGGGAGCAG